GUGUAUUUUAAUUUGUAUUGUGCGUGAUACCCGAUGCAGUGAAAUUGAUUAUAAAAUCAUACGUUCGUACAUAGAGAUUAAUAUGCAGUCAGUGGCGUACCUUUGAGAGGAUCACAAAGAGGGCAUUCGCCCCCCCCCCCUCCUGUGGGUCGUAUAAUUAUGUGUGACGAUAUGUGUACAUUGUUAUAUUUUUUAAAUUCGUAAGAAAUUGUCUACUUUAAGAACGGGUGAAAAUAUAUUUCGCACCUUCUCGUAAGAGAGGCUGAGAUACGCCACUUUACGUAGUAUUGCAGUAGUAUUUAUUAUUAUUUUUAAAUAAUAAUAUUUGUGAUCAAUAGUAGUGGGUAUAGAAGGUAGAA